UCUGCAUGUGUGUGCCUGGGUGGAUGGGGCUAUACUGCCCAGAAGGGAAGUGUUAAUACCACGGACAGGGAUUCCCACCCACAGGAGGGUAUCAGAUCUGAUGGGGGAGGGCACUGUCAUUUGCAAGGGCAUAUUCUAAAAUUACGACUGCUGGUUUUUUUUUUUUUUUUUUUUUUGUCACAACAUUUACCUGGAAUUUUCUAAUGACAUUUAAUGUUUACAAAAGGGUUGCAUGAACUAGGGAGGGUUGAAAUUGAUACUGAAAUGGGGAGACAAUGAAUCUGAAGUUCCUUCUGCAGAAACCUCUCCAGUGGGACAAAUGGCAGCAAACUGGCAUCCCCGGGUCCCUGUAGGGGAGGGAGUGUGGGUGUGUGUGUGUCUCUCCCCUUUAUUCUUGGCCAGUCACUGCUCAUCUAUCUUCUUUUGAGGACAAGUGGGGGCAGGGGAAGGGAGCCCUCUGUCCAGUCAUUCCUCAAUCUUGGAGACCAGAGGUCUGGACUAAUGCUGGAACUUUCCCAAUUGGCUGCUUACAUACUUAAAGGAUUGAGCAUAGACUAGGCUUGAGUUACUUUUGAGGCUCUGACCUUGACAACGGAGCCCAGAGGCUUUUCUGCUGUGGGCAUGAUGUACUGGGAUUAGCUAGCUUUGGUGGAAAGGCACAGGGGCCCAUUUCCUGCCACCAGCCCACACAGGACGCCUAUCUUAACGGCUCUGGGAAGAGGAGCGGACACGCAGGGAGAAGCCGGCCAUGUGAACACAGACGCAGAGAUCCGAGUGGUGUAUUUACGAGCCAACAAAUGGCGAGCAUCGCCAGGAGCCACCAGAAGCUGGAGGAGGCAAAGGAGACCCCCCGCCUCCCGCCCCCCAGAGCCUUCAGAGGGCUUCUAACUUCCAGCUGUGGUUUGUGUUGCUGGCUCAACCCAGAUCCUCCUUUGUCCUGUGCUGCCAGGAUUUUCCUGAAGAUUCUCCAGGUUGGCCCCAAAUCUCACUGCUUGGAGAAGCUGAAUGUCAACUUUGGAUCCAGAAUUUCCAUUGCACCUUCCCUCCUCUGAAGCAUUUGUGAAAAUGUUAAUUAAUCGUGGUUCAAACAGAGACCUCUGUGCCAACUCUGCCACCAUUCAGACAAGUGUUUCCGUUCUGUCUUAAGUCAGUUGGUUUAUGUUUGUAUUUGGCUCCAUCCAUUCCAAAAGGAAUUUGAGGCAUUCAAAACUCGCCUACACCAGAGGCCAGGUAAUGAUACCGCCUGAAGCAAUCUUCCACCCCAGAGUGACCUGGCUUGUUCCUAUAUCUGAGCGUUACAUUUGCUUUUAGAUUUCCUGGCAUCCACGACAAAAUGGGAAGCCAGAUGGGGUAUGUAGUACUUAUUGCCUGAGUCUUCUCAAUGAGUGAGUAUUUUCUGCUGGCAUGCGAUGUGGAGAGGAAUCUCUUAUGUGGAUUCCUAUACGAGGGGCCUCUAGUGACAAAAUGGAAGAGUUGGGAUUUUGCAGAGAAGGUGAAGCUUUUCCUAUAGCUUUUCUAUUGACUCUUUUUUUUAUAUAAAAAAUUUUUAAAAUGUUUAUUCGUUUUUGAGAGACAGAGAGAGACAGAGCAUGAGCAGGGAAGGGGCAGAGAGAGAGAGGGAGACGCAGAAUCCGAAGCAGGCUCCAGGCUCUGAGCUGUCAGCACAGAGCCUGACACGGGGCUCGAACUCACGAACUGUGAGAUCAUGACCUGAGCCGAAGUUGGGCGCUCAACCGACUGAGCCACCCAAGUGCCCCUCUAUUGACUCCUGCUAAAAGCCAGGGCCUGACAUUAAAUCGCACUUCAGCAGACACUUCUCAGUGGGAGCUGGGCGAAUGUUGCCUAAGUGCUCUGCUUUCCUGUGACUUCCUGACUCAAGGGGAACACUUAGAAAACCUAGGUGAAUGGGGUGGUUACCAUGGCUCCUAAUUGACUCUGAGCCACCUUCUUAAUCAGACAGGGAAUUCAGAUGCCAUAAAAAAAAAGAUAGAUCUGACUGUACAGACAUAAAAAUGUCCUGGUUGACAGAAGAUACCAAAAUGAAAUGAGAAAUGAUGGAGAGGAAAUAUUUGCAAGAUGUAUGACAGACAAAGGGUUAAUACACGUAGUAGUGUAAAGAGCUCUCAAAAGAAAAUCUCAGUAGGAAAGUGAAGAAUAUGAGUACAUAGAUUUUGUGUGUGUGUGUGUGUGUGUGUAAAUGUGUGUAAAUGUGUCAACCUGGCCAGGCUAUGGCAUGUAGUUAUUCAAUUAAAUACGAAUCUCUGUGUUGCUGUGAAGGUAUGUUAUAGAUGUACAGAUUAUAUAUUACAGAUAUACAAUUGGUUGACUUGUAAAUCUUCAAUAAUCUGGAUGGGCCUUAUCCAGUUAAUUGAAAGAACUUAGAGCAAAACUGAGGAAGAAGAAAUUCUGUUCAAAAUUGUAGCAUCAGCUUCUCCCUGAGAAUUUUCAGCCUGCCAGUCUACCCUACAGAUUUUGGACAGGCCAGCCCCCCAGAGUCAUGAAAGCCAAUUCCUUGAGCUAAACAUCUCUCAGUAUACUUCAUCCUGGUAUGUUUCUCUGAAUCAGUAUAACAUAUAAUGCUUUGGUAAAAGUAUGAUAAGGGUCAACAUUGGCUGAGAGUUGGGGAAACAGACACUCGUACUUACACCAUUGGUGGGAACAUACGUUGGGGCAUUUGGAAGAGCAACUGACAAUAUCUACUGAAGUUACAAAUGCAAAUUCCUUUGUCUCAACAGUUCUAUGGCUUUAGUGCACAAGUUCACCAAGAUAUGUGUACAAGGAUGUUCAUCGCAGCAUUUGUAAGUGCAAAUAAUCCAGCAAUUGGGACUGCUUAAGUAAACUGUAGGGGCGCCUGGGUGGCUCAGUCAGUUGAGCGUCCGACUUCGGCUCAGGUCAUGAUCUCGAGGUCUGUGAGUUCGAGCCCUGCGUUGGGCUCUGUGCUGACGGCUUGGAGCCUGGAGCCUGCUUCAUAUUCUGUGUCUCCCUCUCUCUCUGCUCCUCCCCUGCUCACACUCUGUCUCUCUCUCAAAAAUAAAUAAAGAUUAAAAAAAACUGAACUGUAGAAUAUCCAUAUAGUGCAAUACUGCGAAGCUGAUAAAAGAAUGAGGUAGGGGUGCCUGGCUGGCUGGCUCUGUUGGUAAAGCAUGGGACUCUUGAUCUCAGGGUUGUUGAGUUCAAGCCCCACAUUGAGUGUAGAGAUUACUUAAAAAAAAAAAAGAAAAAAAGAAUGAGGUAGAUCUAUAUGUGCUGUUUGGGAAAAAUGAUAUUACGGAGUAAAAAAAGGGGCAGAAAGAUAUGCUUGUGUGCUGACUUAUGUUGACUUCACCUAGAUACACAAUGGAAUUAUAUGGGUGUGUAUGCUUCUCUAUAGGGAGGCAGCAGAGACCGACAGUGGCUACCUUUGAGGUUCUG